UGGGGGAUAUUGCACAAUGGGCGAAAGCCUGAUGCAGCGACGCCGCGUGGGGGAUGAAGGCCUUCGGGUUGUAAACUUCUUUUGCUCUGAACAAGGCAUGCUAAUGGGUGUGUUGAGUGUAGGGGUUGAUUAGCGCCGGCUAACUACGUGCCAGCAGCCGCGGUAAUACGUAGGGCGCGAGCGUUGUCCGGAAUUAUUGGGCGUAAGGGGGUUGUAGGUGGCUGGUUGCGUCUGUCGUGAAAGCUCAUGGCUUAACUGUGGGUUUGCGGUGGGUACGGGCUGGCUUGAGUGCAGUAGAGGAGGCUGGAGUUCCUGGUGUAGCGGUGUAAUGCGCAGAGAUCAGGAGGAAUACCGGUGGCGAAGGCGGGUCUCUGGGCUGUUACUGACACUGAGGAGCGAAAGCAUGGGGAGCGAACAGG
rnacentral:rRNA from 1 species